rnacentral:rRNA from 1 species
GACGAACGCUUGCGGCGUGCCUAAGAAAUGCAAGUCGAGCGAGGUUUAGGCUUCGGCCGAAGACCUAGCGGCGAACGGUCGCGUAACACGUAAGCAACCUGCCCUAAAGUUGGGGAUAGCCCGCCGAAAGGCGGAUUAAUACCGAAUGUGGAUAUGUAUUCGCAUGUAUAUAUAUCUGAAGCAGCGAUGCGCUUUAGGAUGGGCUUGCGGCCUAUCAGUUAGUUGGUGUGGGUAACGGCCCACCAAGACGACGACGGGUAGCUGGUCUGAGAGGAUGGUCAGCCGGAUUGGGACUGAGACACGGCCCAGACUCCUACGGGGGCAGCAAUUAGGAAUCUUGCGCAAUGGGCGAAAGCCUGACGCAGCGACGCCGCGUGACUGAUGAAGUCUUUCGAGAUGUAAAGGUCUUUUGUGGGGGACGAAGGAAGUGACGGUACCCCACGAAUAAGCCCCGGUAACUACGUG